CAUCCUCCAAGGCUAAAUACUCCUGACUGACCGAUAGUGAACCAGUACCGUGAGGGAAAGGCGAAAAGAACCCCGGCGAGGGGAGUGAAAAAGAACCUGAAACCGUGUACGUACAAGCAGUGGGAGCACAGGUUUACCUGUGUGACUGCGUACCUUUUGUAUAAUGGGUCAGCGACUUAUAUUCUGUAGCAAGGUUAACCGUAUAGGGGAGCCGGAGGGAAACCGAGUCUUAACCGGGCGUUAAGUUGCAGGGUAUAGACCCGAAACCCGGUGAUCUAGCCAUGGGCAGGUUGAAGGUUGGGUAACACUAACUGGAGGACCGAACCGACUAAUGUUGAAAAAUUAGCGGAUGACCUGUGGCUGGGGGUGAAAGGCCAAUCAAACCGGGAGAUAGCUGGUUCUCCCCGAAAGCUAUUUAGGUAGCGCCUCGUGAAUUCAUCUCCGGGGGUAGAGCACUGUUUCGGCUAGGGGGCCAUCCCGGCUUACCAACCCGAUGCAAACUGCGAAUACCGGAGAAUGUUAUCACGGGAGACACACGGCGGGUGCUAACGUCCGUCGUGAAGAGGGAAACAACCCAGACCGCCAGCUAAGGUCCCAAAGUCAUGGUUAAGUGGGAAACGAUGUGGGAAGGCCCAGACAGCCAGGAUGUUGGCUUAGAAGCAGCCAUCAUUUAAAGAAAGCGUAAUAGCUCACUGGUCGAGUCGGCCUGCGCGGAAGAUGUAACGGGGCUAAACCAUGCACCGAAGCUGCGGCAGCGAACGUAUCACCCAAGACAACUUUACGGAGUUGACGAUUGACGGAGCGAAGCGACGUCAAAGCGUUCAUUAAAGUCGAGUUGGCUUAGGGAUACGUUCGUUGGGUAGGGGAGCGUUCUGUAAGCCUGUGAAGGUGGCCUGUGAGGGUUGCUGGAGGUAUCAGAAGUGCGAAUGCUGACAUAAGUAACGAUAAAGCGGGUGAAAAGCCCGCUCGCCGGAAGACCAAGGGUUCCUGUCCAACGUUAAUCGGGGCAGGGUGAGUCGACCCCUAAGGCGAGGCCGAAAGGCGUAGUCGAUGGGAAACGGGUUAAUAUUCCCGUACUUGGUGUUACUGCGAAGGGGGGACGGAGAAGGCUAUGUUGGCCGGGCGACGGUUGUCCCGGUUUAAGCGUGUAGGUGUGUGUUCCAGGUAAAUCCGGUUCACUUUAACACUGAGGCGUGAUGACGAGGCACUACGGUGCUGAAGCAACAAAUGCCCUGCUUCCAGGAAAAGCCUCUAAGCAUCAGGUAACAUCAAAUCGUACCCCAAACCGACACAGGUGGUCAGGUAGAGAAUACCAAGGCGCUUGAGAGAACUCGGGUGAAGGAACUAGGCAAAAUGGUGCCGUAACUUCGGGAGAAGGCACGCUGACACGUAGGUGAAGUGAUUUACUCACGGAGCUGAAGUCAGUCGAAGAUACCAGCUGGCUGCAACUGUUUAUUAAAAACACAGCACUGUGCAAACACGAAAGUGGACGUAUACGGUGUGACGCCUGCCCGGUGCCGGAAGGUUAAUUGAUGGGG
rnacentral:rRNA from 1 species